UAUUUCACUACCCAUUUUUUGGAAGGGUGCUCGCAACAGGUCGGAUUUAACCAUACAGGUCAUGGUCUUAACCGGACUGUAGCUGAUGGUCGUUCAGAAAAUCUACAUAGAUUGAGGGCUCCAUAUGUUGCUGUGCUAAACCUACCUGAUCCUGACUUGCCACAUGUGCGUCGUGGAGUUGUGCCAUCUGCUCAAACCGUGUCACCUUCAGUAGAUAUAAGUCUGCAGUGCAUUCGCGCUUCUCAGAGAACGUGCCUUAGAUAAUACGGACGCCAUCAGUUAAGGGCAUUUUCUUCGAAUAUUAAAAUAUCGUACCAGAACGGAGAUGGAUGGAAAACCUACAAAAAACAUUAUCAUUCGGUCAAUUUUAAUUCAUAUCUAUUCUGUUUCUGAUGCAGAGUGGGGAUGUUAACCCACACCAAGGCCCAGCAAUUGUUUCAGACUUGACUGAACAUGGUGCUCGUAAGAUAGGGAGACAACUAAAACACCCAUGUCGUGUAUGUAGAAGGGGAGUUACCUCUCGUUCAAAAGCAGUUGACUGUGAUUUUUGUGGAGUCUGGACACACAUAAAUUGCACAGGGUUUAUAACUGUGGAAGAGUAUUUGAAAUUGAGUGAUAUUACAUUUGAAUUUGAUUGUACCAAGUGUACUUUUGAGAAAUUGCCAUUUAAUAGUUGUGAAUCUACAUGUGACAGUGAAAAUAAUAUUCUUAGUGAAAAUGCCAACUCAGAAACUUUUAGAUACUCAUGUUAUUCUGUGUACUACUUUGUACGUAAAUGACUUCAUUUUAUUCAUUUUAAUAUAACAUCGUUAAUGCCAAAAAUAUCAUAAAUAAGACUUUUUAUUUCUAAAUAUUAAUUUGCCGUGACUGACCAGGCAGUGAGGCUGGAUGGUUACAGCGUGACCAGGAAAGACCGAGACCGACAAAGAGGGGGAGUGUGCUUGUACAUCAACGAUGACCUGGCUUUUUCGGAAAUCUGGAGAGAUCUGGAAAAUGACAAUAUUGAGGCUGUCUGGGCUGACAUUCGUUUACCCAAGACCAAGCCAAUUUUAGUUGGGUCAUGUUAUAGACCCCCUAAACAAAAUGACUUUGUGAAUCAAUUUGAAUCUGUGUUAACCAAUUUUAGAUCUGACAUUGAAUGGUAUAUUCUCGGUGAUAUCAAUAUUUGUUUUUAAAAUAAGAACUUUCAGCUAACUCCUCUAGUCUACUGGAUCAUGUAAUAUGUAAUGAUCACACUAUUGUUUCUCAACCAUUUGUUUAAUACUUUGGUUACAUAUUGGACAAUGAUCUUUCUGGUACAUCUAUUGUUAAUAAUAUAGUUUAAAAAGUGAUCUCAAGAAUAAGAUUCUUGUACAGACACGAAUAAAUCAAUAAAUCAAUCAAUGAAUCAAUCAAUCAUUCUUUUACAUUGUUGUCAAUUAAGUUAUCAGUCAUAAGAAGUGAUGACGCGAAAAGGAAGUUUAUAUCCAUAUGAAAUAGGUUCGCAAACAAACAUUAUUACAUGAACACUGCUUCUUUUUGCCUAAUAAAGUUUAUAGAAUGGAUAUAAGAUGCAUAUUUUAAUAUAUUUUGUAUAUACACAGUUCAACUCAAUGGUUAGUGUUUACUUGGCAUUAAGAAAACCAUUAUAUCUUUACAAUUCGCAUAACCGACACCAAUAUAAUCAGUAUAAUCAGAUUUUAAAUAUAAUCAGUAUAAUCAGAUUUUGAACUCUCUUUGAAAAAUAACACUAAGAAGAUGAUUAGAAAUUUCACAUGCUAACUGUUUCUAGUAUUUCACAACCUCGCACGUUGGUAGCAUGCCCAAUUUUAACAAUGUUAUUGCAUGUGUAUAAGGUACAUAUUCUUUUUUGUAAAAUGCACGGCUUAUUUUUCAUUACAUUGUUAAAUUUAAUUAUUUUUAAAUUAAAUCAGUUAUAACAUGUUCACUUAAAAAUGACCUGCUUUUAU